GACGAACCGUGCGAACGUUGUUCGGAAUCACUGGGCUUAAAGGGCGCGUAGGCGGAUUCCCAAGUCCGGGGUGGAAUCUUUCGGCUUAACCGGAAAAUAGCCCUGGAUACUGGGGGUCUCGAGCGAGGUAGGGGCAGCUGGAACUUCCGGUGGAGCGGUGAAAUGCGUUGAUAUCGGAAGGAACGCCGGUGGCGAAAGCGAGCUGCUGGACCUCUUCUGACGCUGAGGCGCGAAAGCCAGGGGAGCAAACGGG
rnacentral:rRNA from 1 species